CAUUCCUUCUCUUACUCGUUGAACCAUCUAGAAUUGCAUCGGAUACUCGGGAAUACUCAUACACAUAGUGUACCUUUCCAUAUAACUGUAAUCUUUCCGUUUCAAUAAUGCUUACAUGAGCUGUGAAGUGGCCCUGCUCACACGAGCUGUAGGUCGAAAUGUAAGUUACACGAUGCUGCUCACACGAGUUGUUGAGAAUCCACAACAAAUGCAAGACCUCAGCCAUUGAUAGGACAUUCAAGACUAGCACUCGAAAUAUGAAAUCCCUAAUGACAUGUCAUUUGUAUCCUAAGAAUUCUUAAGGUUCAAACGGGACUCGUUAUCUGUCAAUUAUUCAUACGUCGAUACAUUUACAAUUUCAUGUCCAUUUAUAUUAACAUAACAUAGAAAAUAAUCAAUUUAACUAACAUUAAUAUGAUCAUAGUUCAUACGAACUUACCUCGAUAACUAAGGUCGUAGAAGUAGAGUCGAACACUAAUCUGAUGCUUUAACCUUUCCUCGAUAUAAGUCCGAUUAUGGUUUAUCUUGAUCUAAAUAAAUAAUUUCAUUUAAUUAAGUACAUCUAGUAUUCAAUUUAAUCCACAAUUCAUAUUUAUAUAAAAUUAUCAAAUUAUCCCUAAUGCUUUAACUUUUCACAAUUUAAUCCUUAAACUCAUAACUUGAAUAUUUACUCAUUUUAACCUAAAUCCAUGUUAACCAAUAUUACAAGAGACCUUGAAACAACCCAUUAUUACCAACAAUUCACAACUAAACCCUUGGAUUUGUACUUUUAACAAUUUAAUCCAUAUUUCAAAAUUCAUCAAAAAUUACUUAAUAAAACAUGUUUAUUUAACAACCAAGAUUAAUAAUCUAUCAAAUAACUUCAAAACACAUUCAAAAACAUCUAUGGUAAGUCCCUCAACCUUUAACAGUUUUGCAAAUUAAUCAUCAGGCUAGCUAGAUUAAGCUAAAACGAACUCAAAAACAUAAAAAUUAUUAAAAACGGGACACAAAAUCAUACCAUGCAAGGUAGAAGAAGAAACCAAAUGCUCCCCCCUUCAAAAAUGGUGAUUUUGGCCAAACCAAAGAGAAAUGGGGAAGAUGAUAGCAUUU
rnacentral:lncRNA from 1 species